UGGGGAAUUUUGCGCAAUGGGCGAAAGCCUGACGCAGUAACGCCGCGUGGAGGAUGAAGGCCUUCGGGUUGUAAACUCCUGUCAGAAGGAACGACGGGGAGAGGGUGAUAAGCCCUUUCAUCCAGACGGUACCUUCAAAGGAAGCCCCGGCUAAUUCCGUGCCAGCAGCCGCGGUAAUACGGAAGGGGCAAGCGUUGUUCGGAAUUAUUGGGCGUAAAGGGCGUGUAGGUGGUUCUGUAUGUCUACCGUGAAAGCGUACGGCUCAACCGUAUUUAGUCGGUGGAAACUGCAGGACUUGAGGCUGGGAGGGGCUGGUGGAAUUCCCCGUGUAGCGGUGAAAUGCGUAGAGAUGGGGGAGAACACUCGUGGCGAAGGCGGCCAGCUAGACCAGUUCUGACACUGAGGCGCGACAGCGUGGGGAGCAAACAGGAUUAGAUACCCCCGUAGUCC
rnacentral:rRNA from 1 species